UACAGAGGGUGCAAGCGUUAAUCGGAAUGACUGGGCGUAAAGAGUGCGUAGGUGGCUGUUUAAGUGAGAUGUGAAAGCCCCGGGCUUAACCUGGGAACGGCAUUUGAUACUGGACAGCUAGAGUAUGGGAGAGGUAAGUGGAAUUUCCGGUGUAGCGGUGAAAUGCGUAGAUAUCGGAAGGAACACCAGUGGCGAAGGCGGCUUACUGGCCUGAUACUGACACUGAGGCACGAAAGCGUGGGGAGCAAACAGG
rnacentral:rRNA from 1 species